UACGUAGGUGGCAAGCGUUAUCCGGAUUUAUUGGGCGUAAAGAGAACGCAGGCGGUCUUUUAAGUCUGAUGUGAAAGCCUUCGGCUUAACCGGAGUAGUGCAUUGGAAACUGGGAGACUUGAGUGUAGAAGAGGAGAGUGGAACUCCAUGUGUAGCGGUGAAAUGCGUAGAUAUAUGGAAGAACACCAGUGGCGAAAGCGGCUCUCUGGUCUGUAACUGACGCUGAGGUUCGAAAGCGUGGGUAGCAAACAGG
rnacentral:rRNA from 1 species